rnacentral:rRNA from 1 species
ACGGGAGGCAGCAGUGGGGAAUAUUGGGCAAUGGGCGAAAGCCUGACCCAGCGACGCCGCGUGAGGGAAGACGGUCUUCGGAUUGUAAACCUCUUUCAGCAGGGAAGAAGUAAGUGACGGUACCUGCAGAAGAAGUCACGGCUAACUACGUGCCAGCAGCCGCGAUAAUACGUAGGUGGCGAGCGUUAUCCGGAAUUACUGGGUGUAAAGGGUGUGUAGGCGGGGAAGCAAGUCAGGUGUGAAAAUUUUGGGCUCAACCCAGGACGUGCACUUGAAACUGUUUUUCUUGAGAGUGGGAGAGGUAAACGGAAUUCCUGGUGUAGUAGUGAAAUGCGUAGAUAUCAGGAGGAACACCGGUGGCGAAGGCGGUUUACUGGACCACAACUGACGCUGAGACACGAAAGCGUGGGGAGCAAACAGGAUUAGAUACCCUGGUA